rnacentral:tRNA from 1 species
GUGGGUGUGCCGGAGUGGUCAAACGGGCAAGAUUUAGGCUCUUGUGGUUCAUCCUUACCUAGGUUCGAAUCCUAGCACCCACA